rnacentral:rRNA from 1 species
AGAACUUCUGGAAUUGAGUCUUCACUAAAAAGGCGCUAGAAGUUAUGCUCUUUUGGCGUCGCCCAAGGAUGGGCCCGCGACCGAUCAGGUUGUUGGUGAGGUAAUGGCUCACCAAGCCUUUUUACCGGUGCGGCCCGUGGGAGCGGGAGCCCGGAGAUGGGCACUGAGACAAGGGCCCAGGCCCUACGGGGCGCAGCAAUCGCGAAAACUUUGCAAUAAGCGAAAGCUUGACAGGGCUAUCCCGAGUGCCAUCCGCUGAGGAAGGCUUUUACCCAGUCUAGAACGCUGGGGGAAUAAGGAGAGGGCAAGUCUGGUGUCAGCCGCCGCGGUAAUACCAGCUCUCCGAGUGGUGUGGAUGUUUAUUGGGCCUAAAGCAUCCGUAGCUGGCUAGGUUAGUCCCCUGUUAAAUCCACCGAAUUAAUCGUUGGAUUGCGGGGGAUACUGCUUGGCUAGGGGACGAGAGAGGCAGACGGUAUUUCCGGGGUAGGGGUGAAAUCCUAUAAUCCCGGGAAGACCACCAGUGGCGAAGGCUGUCUGCUAGAACGCGCCCGACGGUGAGGGAUGAAAGCUGGGGGAGCGAACCGGAUUAGAUACCCGGGUAGUCCCAGCUGUAAACGAUGCAGACUAGGUGUUUGGACGGCCACGUGCCGUUCUAGUGCCGCAGGGAAGCUGUUAAGUCUGCCGCCUGGGGAGUACGAUCGCAAGAUUGAAACUUAAAGGAAUUGGCGGGGGGCACAAGGGCGAAUUCCAGCACACUGGCGGCCGUUACUAGUGGAUCCGAGCUCGGUACCAAGCUUGGCG